GACGAACGCUGGCGGCGUGCUUAACACAUGCAAGUCGAACGGAAAGGCCCUGCUUUUGUGGGGUGCUCGAGUGGCGAACGGGUGAGUAACACGUGAGUAACCUGCCCUUGACUUUGGGAUAACUUCAGGAAACUGGGGCUAAUACCGGAUAGGAGCUCCUGCUGCAUGGUGGGGGUUGGUAAGUUUCGGCGGUUGGGGAUGGACUCGCGGCUUAUCAGCUUGUUGGGGGGGUAGUGGCUUACCGAGGCUUUGACGGGUAGCCGGCCUGAGAGGGUGACCGGGCACAUUGGGACUGAGAUACGGCCCAGACUGCUACGGGAGGCAGCAGUGGGGAAUAUUGCACAAUGGGCGGAAGCCUGAUGCAGCAACGCCGCGUGCGGGAUGACGGCCUUCGGGUUGUAAACCGCUUUCGCCUGUGACGAAGCGUGAGUGACGGUAAUGGGUAAAGAAGCACCAGCUAACUACGUG
rnacentral:rRNA from 1 species